rnacentral:rRNA from 1 species
UACGUAGGGUGCAAGCGUUUAAUCGGAAUUACUGGGCGUAAAGCGUGCGCAGGCGGUGAUGUAAGACAGGGUGUGAAAUCCCCGGGCUUAACCUGGGAACUGCAUUUGUGACUGCAUCGCUGGAGUGCGGCAGAGGGGGAUGGAAUUCCGCGUGUAGCAGUGAGAUGCGUAGAUAUGUGGAGGAACACCGGUGGCGAAGGCGGCGUCCUGGACCAACACUGACACUGAGGAGCGAAAGCCAGGGGAGCGAACAGG